rnacentral:tRNA from 2 species
UGGUGUAGCUCAAUAGGUAGAGCAGCUGACUUGUAAUCAGCAGGUUGUGGGUUCAAUUCCUAUCACC